rnacentral:rRNA from 1 species
UACAGAGGUCUCGAGCGUUAGGCGGAAUCACUGGGCUUAAAGCGUGUGUAGGCGGAUCGUUAAGUACCUUGUGAAAUCCCACGGCUUAACCGUGGAACUGCUUGGUAUACUGGCGGUCUUGAGCCAGCUAGGGGCUACCGGAACAAAUGGUGGAGCGGUGAAAUGCGUAGAUAUCAUUUGGAACGCCAAUGGUGAAAACAGGUAGCUGGGAGUGUGCCGACGCUGAGACACGAAAGCCAGGGGAGCGAACGGG